UACGUAGGUGGCAAGCGUUGUCCGGAUUUACUGGGCGUAAAGAGCGCGCAGGCGGUCGUUCAAGUCGCGUGUGAAAGCCCCCCGGCUCAACUGGGGAGGGUCACGCGAUACUGAUCGACUCGAAGGCAGGAGAGGGUAGUGGAAUUCCCGGGUGUAGUGGUGAAAUGCGUAGAUAUCGGGAGGAACACCAGUGGCGAAGGCGACUACCUGGCCUGUUCUUGACGCUGAGGCGCGAAAGCUAGGGGAGCAAACGGGGAUUAAGAAACCCGGGUGAGUCC
rnacentral:rRNA from 1 species